rnacentral:lncRNA from 1 species
AUUUCAUUGUAUACUUGUGUUUUUUUGCCCUUUCCAGGAAUCAACAAUAAAUAAAAACGGAUUAGUUCCAACAUAGAGCUUGAUAACAUUUUUCGAAUAUUCUUGGUAUAGAGAUGUCGUUAAUUUUCUUGAUUUUGAACACACGACUUCAACAUUUCUACACAAUUUGAGCAGUUCAUCAACAUCCUUCUGAACAUAUAAUUCAAAACAAUCUGAAUUCUUGCAAACAAACAAAAAAACUUUGACAAAAUCUGGUAAGUUAUUAAAUAAAGAAUAUUGUGCAGUGUAAGAGUGAGAAAUCUUACUCGAACUUUACAUCGGAGAUUUGAAUAACUUCUGUAUGCGUAUAAGUUCGCGAAACAGUCUAUAUUCGCAACCUGUUUGAUCUGUAUUAAUUAUAAAAUCAGGAUUGUAGUCUGGCGAAAUUGCUUGAAUCAAUCGUUGAAAAUGUGUUGCUGAUUCUAUAAUAGCUUCUGGUGGUGUCAUCUCUUUUUUUCAAAAGGUACCGGAUGACUUUGCGAUUCGAAUUUUAUGCUCACAUAAAAACAAAGUUAACCAUGAGCUCGAUGCUACAGAAUGGAAAACAUUUUUGUGUUCUUUGCUGUCUUCUUGAUUGUCAUUAUAUUGAGCAGCUGCAACCAUGGCCCAUUGCUGAAGUAUGUCAUGUUACAAGCUGUUUAUUUGCUCUUGCUUCUACAAAACGAUCCUGCACAUUUUAUUGACUGCAGUUUGUCCCUGUAAUUUCCACCUGACAGAACAUCUCUUUUGUAUCGUGUAAUAUCACAAUCAUAAUAGUAAAAAAUUUUUAUAUCGUUGUUGUAGUGUACGAAAGGUCCAAAAUGGAUGUUGAAUUGCUGCCAUGACGAUCUUCAGUUUUUAAUAUCAAAUGGUACAGAUUCGUAUGCAGUAGCUUUCUGUGGUGGAUUGUAUUCUUCAUCGAGUAUAGUGUGACUUGUAUGAUGCAUGCUUUCACAUGCAUUAUCAUCUUUUCCUUCUGCU